AUUGAACGCUGGCGGCAUGCCUUACACAUGCAAGUCGAACGGUAACAGGUCCUCGGAUGCUGACGAGUGGCGAACGGGUGAGUAAUACAUCGGAACGUGCCUAGUGGUGGGGGAUAACUACUCGAAAGAGUGGCUAAUACCGCAUGAGAUCUACGGAUGAAAGCAGGGGAUCGCAAGACCUUGUGCUACUAGAGCGGCCGAUGGCAGAUUAGGUAGUUGGUGGGAUAAAAGCUUACCAAGCCGACGAUCUGUAGCUGGUCCGAGAGGACGAUCAGCCACACUGGGACUGAGACACGGCCCAGACUCCUACGGGAGGCAGCAGUGGGGAAUUUUGGGCAAUGGGCGCAAGCCUGAUCCAGCAAUGCCGCGUGCAGGAUGAAGGCCUUCGGGUUGUAAACUGCUUUUGUACGGAACGAAAAGCCCCGGGUUAAUACCCUGGGGUCAUGACGGUACCGUAAGAAUAAGCACCGGCUAACUACGUGCCAGCCGCCGCAGUAA
rnacentral:rRNA from 1 species